rnacentral:tRNA from 1 species
UCCCCGGUGGCUCAGUUGGUAAAGAAUCUGCCUAUAACGCAGGACACCCAGGUUUGAUCCCUGGGUUGGGAA